CAGCAGCCGCGGGAAUACGGAGGGGGCUAGCGUUGUUCGGAAUUACUGGGCGUAAAGCGCACGUAGGCGGCUUGGUAAGUUAGAGGUGAAAGCCCGGAGCUCAACUCCGGAAUUGCCUUUAAGACUGCCGAGCUAGUAGGUGAGAGAGGUAAGUGGAAUUCCGAGUGUAGAAGUGAAAUUCGUAGAUAUUCGGAAGAACACCAGUGGCGAAGGCGGCUUACUGGCUCAUUCUAGACGCUGAGGUGCGAAAGCGUGGGGAGCAAACAGGAUUAGAUACCCCUGUAGUCCCUGUCUCUUAUAA
rnacentral:rRNA from 1 species